UACGAGAGCCCCAAGCGUUAUCCGGAAUUACUGGGCGUAAAGGGUGCGUAGGUGGCAUUAUUAGUCGUCCGUUAAAUCCCCAAGCUCAACUUGGGAAUCGCGAACGAAACGGUAAAGCUAGAGAGUGUGAGAGGUGUACGGAACUUAUGGUGUAGGGGUGAAAUCCGUUGAUAUCAUAGGGAACACCAAAUGCGAAGGCAGUACACUGGCACACAUCUGACACUGAAGCACGAAAGCGUGGGUAGCGAAUGGG
rnacentral:rRNA from 1 species